UACGUAGGUGGCGAGCGUUGUCCGGAUUUACUGGGCGUAAAGGGAGCGUAGGCGGACUUUUAAGUGAGAUGUGAAAUACUCGGGCUCAACUUGAGUGCUGCAUUUCAAAUUGGAAGUCUAGAGUGCAGGAGAGGAGAAUGGAAUUCCUAGUGUAGCGGUGAAAUGCGUAGAGAUUAGGAAGAACACCAGUGGCGAAGGCGAUUCUCUGGACUGUAACUGACGCUGAGGCUCGAAAGCGUGGGGAGCAAACAGG
rnacentral:rRNA from 1 species